GGGCAUCUUGCUGGAGAUCCCUGCCUACCUGAGGCCUUCUAAAGGAGGGAGUGUGCUUAGCAAGUUGGUAAUCUGAAUGAGGACAAAGAGAUGUUCUCCCCACCAGGGCGUGCUCCGGGCUCGGUCAGGUGAGCUCCCACAGGGCACGUGGGCAUCUGCAGGCAGAGCUGGAGCCGUCCUUGUGCCUCUGCUUGUCCCAAUAGCGUGCCAUUAAAUCCUCCACCCGGCACGGGGUGGGGUCUGGUCUCUGCUGGAUGAUCUCCUUCUGACCCUGGGGGGCUUUGCUGUGUGCUUCGCUUCCCUGGAGAGGGCUCUUCAGCAUCUACCCAAGCAGGGAGACCGUGUCUGAGACACCGACGCUCCACAGGAAAGCUCUUCUGCUUCGUGGAAACUGAAAAUCAUCCCCAGAAACUCCAGGUGCUCCGCGGCCGGUCGAGCACUGCCAGAUCCCUUCUCGUCCUCCGGUCGGUGUCACUUCCCCGCCAUGGCCGCUAGGUGGCGCUGCGGGCCGUUCCCGGCGCUGAAAGGAGGUCGCUGCGGAGAUGUUGCCGAACCGACCCUGCUUUCCCUCUGCCUCUAUGGGCUGAAGGUACCGGCAUAGAACUUCCUUUCACUGUGCUCCCGAGGCAGAGCCUAAAGCGGCUCAGGACCUUCAGUUAGCUACAAGAUAUCUCAAGUUUGUAGCCACGUGGGUAGGUGUGGGACUCAGAAAAGCGCUCUGAUGUUUCCUGGGCUUACUGUUGCAGAUGUGGGCCAGGAACAUGACUACAGCCCAGCCUGUCCCUCACCAAUGAGUGCUAAGUAUCAGAGAAGUCUCAUGAAUUCCACUCAGCCUUCAGUCGGUUGAUCAAAUGAAGUCAUACCUCGUGCUGCAAGGAAGCUCUGGUAAUGGAUACAUUUCUUGGAACAAUAAAUGCACAUCAAAACGAUGGUGCAAAAUGCAUUGGAGAAAUAACACCCAAACUCAACUGAGAAACAGGGAAGGAAAGAAGUGACUUUGUUGUGAAAUGUGACAAUUUUCUUCAAGUCUGAAUUAAUACUGAUGUGAUGUUAAUACCAGAGAUGUUUAUGCCCUAACCUGCUGCGUGCACUCUGCUUUGCCUUCUGGGUGCAUUUGAAGGCUACAGCAUCCUAUGGGUGCAGCAAAUCAGUGCUGUACAAACAGCUUUUCAGGGUUAUUGUGCUUUGCUGGCUGAGCUUGUCCAGAUCUUCAUAAAUGCCUUUACUGACACCUCCUCAA